rnacentral:rRNA from 1 species
GAAUGGCAUCACGAGGGCUUAACUGUCUCCCCUCCCCAGUCAAUGAAAUUGAUCUCCCCGUGCAGAAGCGGGGAUAAUACCAUAAGACGAGAAGACCCUAUGGAGCUUUAGACGUCAGAGCAGCCCAUGUAAAGCACCCCUUAACAAAGGAAAAAACCAAAUGAAGCCUGCCCUAAUGUCUUUGGUUGGGGCGACCGCGGGGAAAUACAAAACCCCCAUGUGGAGUAGGAAUACACAUUCCUAAACCCAAGAGCUCCCGCUCUAAUGAACAGAAAUUCUGACCAAUAAGAUCCGGCACACGCCGAUCAACGGACCGAGUUACCCUAGGGAUAACAGCGCAAUCCCCUUAAAGAGCCCUUAUCGACAAGGGGGUUUACGACCUCGAUGUUGGAUCAGGACAUCCUAAUGGUGCAGCCGCUAUUAAGGGUUCGUUUGUUCAACGAUUAAAGUCCGA